rnacentral:tRNA from 1 species
UCCCUGGUGGUCCAGUGGCUAAGACUCUGUGCUCCCAGUGCUGGGAGCCUGGGUUCAAUCCCUGGUCAGGGAA